rnacentral:rRNA from 1 species
UACAGAGACUGCAAGCGUUAUUCGGAUUCACUGGGCGUAAAGGGUGCGCAGGCGGUCGUGUGUGUCAGAUGUGAAAUCCCGGGGCUCAACCCCGGAACUGCACUGGAUACUGCCAUGCUUGAGUACUGGAGAGGAGAUUGGAAUUUACGGUGUAGCAGUGAAAUGCGUAGAUAUGCGGAGGAACACCGAUGGCGAAGGCAAUCCCCUGGACCUGUACUGACGCUCAUGCACGAAAGCGUGGGGAGCAAACAGG